rnacentral:rRNA from 1 species
AACGAACGCUGGCGGCAUGCCUAACACAUGCAAGUCGAACGAGACCUUCGGGUCUAGUGGCGCACGGGUGCGUAACGCGUGGGAACCUGCCCUUAGGUUCGGAAUAACUCCCCGAAAGGGGUGCUAAUACCGGAUAAUGUCUUCGGACCAAAGAUUUAUCGCCUUUGGAUGGGCCCGCGUUGGAUUAGCUAGUUGGUAGGGGUAAAAGCCUACCAAGGCGACGAUCCAUAGCUGGUCUGAGAGGAUGAUCAGCCACACUGGGACUGAGACACGGCCCAGACUCCUACGGGAGGCAGCAGUGGGGAAUAUUGGACAAUGGGCGAAAGCCUGAUCCAGCAAUGCCGCGUGAGUGAUGAAGGCCUUAGGGUUGUAAAGCCCUUUUACCCGGGAUGAUAAUGACAGUACCGGGAGAAUAAGCUCCGGCUAACUCCGUG